AUAGUGCAGCUGGGCACCCAACUUGAGUUACCUCCAUGCCAGCCAGACCCUGCACAGUCUGCAAAUUGGGAGGCCAGGGCUGCCUCUAACUUGAUGUCUUUCACGGGCUCAGCAGCACAGCUGUUAGAGGCUGGUGGAGGUUGGACCCUGGGACAGAGCAGGGAAAAGAUGCUCGAGCCAAAACACUAAUUGCUUUGCUCUGUGCAAGGAACAGGAGGGAGGAAUAUUUUCACCAUACCGGAAAGCCAGAUGAGAUGGGCUUACGGUCUCCAGGAAGUCAGAUGAGAAGGACUAAUAGCCUGAGGGUUAUGAAUCUAGGAGGAGAUGAAAUGCAGAGAAAACCUUCCCUUGAUCUAAGCCACGUUCCCGGGACUGGUCAUUAUUUACUGAAGCUUCUCCAUGCCUCAACAGCAUUUGCAACAAGUAGGAAGUACUGCAUUUGUAAAGAGAUAGACAGAGAUGACGGAGAAGAAAAGGCCUCCAGUAAUUGCUCCUAUUUAUCAUGCUGGCUUCUCUGCCUUGCUCACACCAGGCUCUGCUGCUGUUAAUGCAGGCUGUGGACACUCCCUGCCUGGAGGGGCUGGGCUGCAUGCUCUGCUUUCCCUUCAGUCAUGCCUUGCAGCAACACAUGCUAUUUCUUUGAAAGGCAGACGAGAUGGAAGCAGAGCCUGAACAACUCUGAAGGUGGACUUUGCAGUGAGAUGGGGUGGAGAGAGUUGGGUGCAGACCCUCUGUCUGCACUAACACAUGCAUGAAUGUGCAGACACGGAUAUGUAUGUGCUUUCCUCCACAAUGUGUGCUGAUGCUUGCCAUAAUCCAGGAUCAACAGCUGUCAGUUGUAGAUCAAACCUGUUGCAAAGCUCCAUGCAGUGGCUGGGAGUUUUUCAGUCACGUUUGAUGAACACUAGAGCUAUGAUUUCGGGAGGGAGGUGGCUGUUGUAA